rnacentral:misc_RNA from 1 species
UAGACAAAACAAGUCCACCGUGGGCUUUGAAAAACGCUUUCCUUGAUAAAAUUUAAGCGUUUUAUAAGAGGAUGCCGGGGAAGGUUUUCCGGUUUAUCCCGGAGGGCUUGUAGCUCAGUUGGUUAGAGCGCGCGCUUGAUAAGCGUGAGGUCGGAGGUUCAAGUCCUCCCAGGCCCACCAGUUUAUCCAUUACUUUCAUAAGUGCUUUUAAAAAAUAAGUACUUCUAAAAAGAUUGCUUCUAAAAAGAUUGCUUCUAAAAAGCUUAUCAAAAUUGGCAGGCUUAUUGCUUUUGUGUGAGUAAUCCAAAGUUAAAGCAAAUUAAUGGCAAAAAAACAGUUCAAAUGCUAAAUACUAAGGAGUCAAAAUUCCUUGCAAAGUGAUUUUUACAGCGUCCAUUUGGUUGAUAUAAAUUCCAAAUGCUCAUAGACGUCAAUGCCUAUAUGAAACUAUCGGUUCAAUCAUAUCGCUUUGAGUUAUAUAGAUUUUGUAAUCCCUCUUUUGAUCGUUUUAAACGCUUUAUCCUGAUUUAGGGGCCGUAGCUCA